ACAUUGGUGGUUCAGUGGUAGAAUUCUCGCCUUCCAUCUGGGAGACCCGGGAUAGAUUCCCAGCCAGUGCA
rnacentral:tRNA from 1 species